AUCCGAAGAUUUCCGAAUGAGGAAACUCACUUAGAGUAAUGUCUAAGUAUCAUUAAGUGAAUACAUAGCUUAAUGAGGGGAACUCAGGGAACUGAAACAUCUAAGUACCUGAAGGAAGAGAAAGAAAGUCGAUUCCGUAAGUAGCGGCGAGCGAACGCGGAAUAGCCCAAACCAAUAAAGUUUUCUUUAUUGGGGUUGCGGACAUAUCUUAAACGAAGAGGUAUCGUAAUUGAAGAGGUUUGGAAAGA
rnacentral:rRNA from 1 species